AGACAAUGACUGGUCCAACUCCAAACCAGGAAGCAGCAUCCAAAGCGUGUCACUGCUCUUCCCGAGAAAACUGAGAAGGAAUUUCUUUGCCUGAGGCUGGCGCUGGAAUAUCAAACAAAGGGGAUGCAAUGCAAAAGAAAGACAGUCCUUGGUCAGGAACCAAAGGCUUCAGAGCUCCAGAGGUACAUCAACUAUAACUAUCUGUGGCCCUUUUCUUGGCUUGUGCGAUCUUUGCACCAAGGCCCUAAGAUAGACGUCCCAGUUACUUUGUUACAUCUAGUGAUCGGCAAAGCACCUACCUUUUACUGGUGGCCUUGAACAGAACAUGAAAGUUAUUGCACAAUUACGAGGCAGUGAAGAAUUAUGGGAAGUUGCUAAACUGCACAACCGUGAAUCUUCUUUCCCUGAGGAACUGUUACGAAUCACUGUACUUAAAGAGAAUGGCGUUGAGGAAAUGGUUCGAAAACACAAAACGCAGACGUGAUUCCCCUCUUGCUUCUUGACCUUGUUGAUAAGUUUGACAGUAAACCCGAGGCUACGAAUCAGUGCAGAGGACCCUUAGAAGACAAAGGCUCCAUAAGCAGCAAACGCAACCGCAGCCUUCAGUGGCAGUGGUUGCUGCCGCAGUAGGACAAGCACCCAGCUAAUGAUAGAAAUGUAAAAGUAAAUAACCAAACAUUUGAAGUUUUAUAUUUCCUCAAUUCUUUACACACUUAGUAUGAAUGGAUAGCCAACUGUUCUGUAGCUCGUUACUUGCUACUUAGAUUCAAACCUUUAAAACGAUAAAACUAUUCUAUUUGUCAGA